rnacentral:rRNA from 1 species
CGAAAGCCUGACGGAGCAACGCCGCGUGAGGGACGAAGGCCUUUGGGCUGUAAACCUCUUUUCUCAAGGAAGAAGAUCUGACGGUACUUGAGGAAUAAGCCACGGCUAAUUCCGUGCCAGCAGCCGCGGUAAUACGGGAGUGGCAAGCGUUAUCCGGAAUUAUUGGGCGUAAAGCGUCCGCAGGCGGCCGUUUAAGUCUGUUGUUAAAUCGUGGAGCUCAACUCCAUCACGGCAAUGGAAACUGUUCGGCUUGAGUAUGGUAGGGGCAGAGGGAAUUUCCGGUGUAGCGGUGAAAUGCGUAGAUAUCGGGAAGAACACCAGUGGCAAAAGCGCUCUGCUGGGCCAUUACUGACGCUCAUGGACGAAAGCCAGGGGAGCGAAAGGGAUUAGAUACCCCUGUAGUCCUGGCCGUAAACGAUGAACACUAGAUGUUGGGGGAAUCGACCCCCUCGGUGUCGUAGCUAACGCGUUAAGUGUUCCGCCUGGGGAGUACGCACGCAAGUGUGAAACUCAAAGGAAUUGACGGGGGCCCGCACAAGCGGUGGAGUAUGUGGUUUAAUUCGAUGCAACGCGAAGAACCUUACCAAGGCUUGACAUCCUGCGAAUCUCCAAGAAAUUGGAGAGUGCCUUCGGGAACGCAGUGACAGGUGGUGCAUGGCUGUCGUCAGCUCGUGUCGUGAGAUGUUGGGUUAAGUCCCGCAACGAGCGCAACCCACGUUUUUAGUUGCCAGCAUUCAGUUGGGCACUCUAGAAAGACUGCCGGUGACAAACCGGAGGAAGGUGUGGACGACGUCAAGUCAUCAUGCCCCUUACGCCUUGGGCUACACACGUACUACAAUGCUACGGACAAAGAGUAGCGAUCUUGCGAAAGUUAGCUAAUCUCGUAAACCGUGGCUCAGUUCAGAUCGUAGGCUGCAACUCGCCUACGUGAAGGAGGAAUCGCUAGUAAUCGCAGGUCAGCAUACUGCGGUGAAUACGUUCCCGGGCCUUGUACACACCGCCCGUCACACCAUGGAAGUUGGCCAUGCCCGAAGUCGUUACUCUAACCUUUUUGGAAGAGGGCGCCGAAGGCAGGGCUAAUGACUGGGGUGAAGUCGUAACAAGGUAGCCGUAGCGGAAGCUGCGGCUGGAUCACCUCCUAA